rnacentral:rRNA from 1 species
UACGGAGGGUGCGAGCGUUGUCCGGAAUCACUGGGCGUAAAGGGCGCGUAGGCGGCCUGAUAAGUAGGGGGUGAAAUCCUGCGGCUUAACCGCAGGGCUGCCUUCUAAACUGUCAGGCUCGAGCACAGUAGAGGCAGAUGGAAUUCCCGGUGUAGCGGUGGAAUGCGUAGAGAUCGGGAAGAACAUCAGUGGCGAAGGCGGCCUGCUGGGCUGUUGCUGACGCUGAGGCGCGACAGCGUGGGUAGCAAACAGG